AUGAACGCUGGCGGCGUGCUUAACACAUGCAAGUCGAACGAAGCACUUUAUUUGAUUUCCUUCGGGACUGAUUAUUUUGUGACUGAGUGGCGGACGGGUGAGUAACGCGUGGGUAACCUGCCUUGUACAGGGGGAUAACAGUUGGAAACGGCUGCUAAUACCGCAUAAGCGCACAGCAUCGCAUGAUGCAGUGUGAAAAACUCCGGUGGUAUAAGAUGGACCCGCGUUGGAUUAGCUAGUUGGUGAGGUAACGGCCCACCAAGGCGACGAUCCAUAGCCGACCUGAGAGGGUGACCGGCCACAUUGGGACUGAGACACGGCCCAAACUCCUACGGGAGGCAGCAGUGGGGAAUAUUGCACAAUGGGCGAAAGCCUGAUGCAGCGACGCCGCGUGAGCGAAGAAGUAUUUCGGUAUGUAAAGCUCUAUCAGCAGGGAAGAUAAUGACGGUACCUGACUAAGAAGCACCGGCUAAAUACGUGCCAGCAGCCGCGGUAAUACGUAUGGUGCAAGCGUUAUCCGGAUUUACUGGGUGUAAAGGGAGCGCAGGCGGUGCGGCAAGUCUGAUGUGAAAGCCCGGGGCUCAACCCCGGUACUGCAUUGGAAACUGUCGUACUAGAGUGUCGGAGGGGUAAGCGGAAUUCCUAGUGUAGCGGUGAAAUGCGUAGAUAUAUGGAGGAACACCAGUGGCGAAGGCGACGAUCUGGCGCAUAACUGACGCUCAGUCCCGAAAGCGUGGGGAGCAAAUAGGAUUAGAUACCCUAGUAGUCCACGCCGUAAACGAUGAGUACUAAGUAUUGGGGGUCAAACCUCAGUGCUGCAGUUAACGCAAUAAGUACUCCGCCUGAGUAGUACGUUCGCAAGAAUGAAACUCAAAGGAAUUGACGGGGACCCGCACAAGCGGUGGAGCAUGUGGUUUAAUUCGAAGCAACGCGAAGAACCUUACCAAGUCUUGACAUCCUUCUGACCGGUACUUAAUCGUACCUUCUCUUCGGGGCAGGAGUGACAGGUGGUGCAUGGUUGUCGUCAGCUCGUGUCGUGAGAUGUUGGGUUAAGUCCCGCAACGAGCGCAACCCCUGUUUCUAGUUGCCAGCACGUCAAGGUGGGAACUCUAGAAAGACUGCCGUAGAUAAUACGGAGGAAGGUGGGGAUGACGUCAAAUCAUCAUGCCCCUUAUGACUUGGGCUACACACGUGCUACAAUGGCGUUAACAAAGGGAAGCAAAGCUGUGAAGCCGAGCAAAUCUCAAAAAUAACGUCUCAGUUCGGACUGUAGUCUGCAACCCGACUACACGAAGCUGGAAUCGCUAGUAAUCGCAGAUCAGAAUGCUGCGGUGAAUACGUUCCCGGGUCUUGUACACACCGCCCGUCACACCAUGGGAGUUGGGAAUGCCCGAAGCCAGUGACCUAACCGAAAGGAAGGAGCUGUCGAAGGCAGGCUCGAUAACUGGGGUG
rnacentral:rRNA from 1 species